rnacentral:lncRNA from 1 species
UCCACAUACCCCCCUUCCCCAUUUUGUUUUGCCGACCCCUUUUAACAGAUUGGGUUUUCUUUUCCUUUAAUCCGAUAUGAUUCUUCUCUUGCCGCCAGGGAUCCCGAGGCCUGCAGGGUAAGAGCGGUGAGCCAGGGACUCAAGGCAGAGAGGGUUAUAAAGGAACCAAAGGGGUUCGUGGAAGAGGAGGAGACGCCGGACCAGUGGGCGACGUUGGGCCCGAGGGAGACGACGGAGCCUCUGGUUUCUCUGGAGCCAUGGUGAGGUUUUUGGCAGGUUAUGAACCUUGAAACUAUUAUUGAAAUACAUUCAUAUAUGACAUUAAUGAUUGAGUCGAUGGAAGCUGCAAAAAACGUGCACAACCCCAGCACCUAACUGUUUGUAAAAUUCUAGAUUAACCGUCUAUAAUGUUUUAGAUUCUUCAAAAUAAAUUGAUAAAUUACCAAACAAGUUAAUAAAAUAAACUUUUUUUAACUGAAUCUAUAUUUUGUCGACGACAGGGAGAACACGGACUUCCAGGAGACCUGGGCCAGCAUGGAGAGCUGGGUCUGAAGGUGAACACACACACACACACACACACACUGAAUUUGAGAAAAUGUUUUGUUUUUCAGAAAACCGUUAAUUUUUUUGUUGUUGGUGGGUGGACUAUUUAUACAA